GCGGGGAUAGCUCAGUUGGGAGAGCGUCAGACUGAAGUUCAAACUUCAAUCUUCUAGCCAAUCAGGUUUAUCUGAAGGUCGUGCGUUCGAUCCGCACUCACCGCA